AGCAACCUCAGAGAGAAGAGAUUCGACGAUUCAGAAGCCAACGAUGGCCACCACUGUGCUGUUUAUAAGAGGUCUCACUCCCAGAGGAAACCACUGGAACCAGCUGCUUGAGCGUCGUUGGGAAAUAAGCAGUGCACGGACAGAUGUCUGGGCCGUGUGUGAAGUACAAGGUCAGGAGCUGCUGACAUGGCAUAGGAAUCGGUA